GUGCUCGCUUCAACAGCAUAUAUACUAAAAUUGGAACGAUACAGAGAAGAUUAACAUGACCCCUGUGCAAGGAUGACAGGCAAAUUUGUGAAGCAUUCCAUAUUUAA
rnacentral:snRNA from 1 species